AUACAUUGGCCAAUGAUACUUCUUCUAAAGAUGUUUUUCUUCAGAAACUUAGGUCAGGGGAGCAUCUAACACUACCAUAUUUUACUGAAGGAAACAUACGCUUUCAUUUCAUCAGGCGGGACAAAUUGUUUUUCGUUGCCACAACAAGCAAGGAAACGUCACCAAUUCUUAUCGUAGAGGUUCUAACUAGAUUGUAUCAUGUCUUCAAAGAUUUUUGUGGCGUGGUUUCGGAGGAAUCGUUACAAGAAAAUCUGCUCCUGAUUCUAGAGGUUCUCAAUGAAUUUCUGGACUUUGGUUAUGUCCAGCUGUCCACUACAGAUAAAUUACAGCCUCAUAUCCAAUCCACACCGGUACUGACCAGAAUAAACAGACAGCCAACACAGGAUUAAACAUCACGGGUGUUUGGUAUAGAAACAAAGACCACCCCUAUCCCAGCAACCGACAGACCUGUCAUAGGUUCCUCUGUCCAGAAGGUAUGCAUUAUUUAAUCCAA